CCAGCCUGGGAGACAGAGCGAGACUCCAUUUCAAAAAAUAAAUAAAUAAAUAAAUAAAUAAAUAAAUAAAUAAAGCUAAACAAGAAACAAUAUGCUUAGGGGGAAGAGUUAUCCUUCUCAACCCCAAGGAGCACCAGGAGCCACCAGGAUCCCACCAGGAUCAUCACAACCAGGUGACCACAGGGCAUGAGAGGGAUGACUCAUCCCCUCUAACACAAUCAAAAGAGCAGCAGCACAAACCACAACAGCAGCGUGGCCAAAAGCGUCCUGAUCAUUGUCAUGACAGGCUAACUUCCACUUGCACCUCGAGGAGAUUAAAGUUCUGCUACCAAUGGCUAUGCCCUUAGGGUCUCAGUUCCCCAACUUGCUUUCUCUCUUUCCAGAAUGUCUUUUCCAGGAAAUACACCCAGCCAGGUGGAGGGUAAACUUCCCACAUGUGACAGCAUGUAUGUUCUCAGGGGCCACACUCUCUGUAGAUGAGUAGAGUACAGAACCAUGGUCUGGCUACUUAAGUACCUUGACACACUUGAGGUAUCCAUAAGAUUUUUCGUAUGUAGCUCACUUUAUGUGUUAUGAAAAUUCAAAUGGAAACAUAAAAACUACCUUCAAAUAUUUGAAAAAGUAGUGGCAGAUGGGACAGGCUUUUUCUGCCUCACCUUAGGGACACAGACAAGAAUAAAUGGUAGAAAAAUUUUGGUGAGGCAAAUUUCAGCUUCAUUUAAAGAAAAACCUGCUAAUUUUCAGAGCUCGAGUUGCUGUGAGCUACCCAAUCUCUGGACCUGCAGUAAAGUGAACAUCAAGCAGAUUGUCAAGAGAAGGUCCUACAGUGGAAUGAUGUUUGGAGAAGAAAACUUCCAAGAUGCCGUAAUUGACUAAUUUACCUCCUGUUCCUCUACAACUUAUAGGAGAAUCACAACCAGGCACACAUCAAGGAAAGGCUGUGUGAGGACACAGGGAGAAAGCAUCAUCUACAAACCAGGAAGAGAGCCCUUACUAGAAACCUAACCCUACCAGCACCUUGACCUUGGACUUCUACCCUACAGAACUGUGAGAAAUAAAUUUCUGUUGUUUAAGCCAUCAAGUCUGUGAUAUUUUAUGAUGGCAGCCUGAGAAGACUGAUAAAAAGCUAAAACACAUUUAAAUGAAAAAAAAAAUAUUUAUUUAUAUAAUGUAAAUAUCUUCCAGCUUGAUAGCCUCUGUGGGUGACUGCAUUUUGGCUGCCACAAUAUCUCCCCUCCCACAUGUACAUCUACCACGUGACAUUGAGUAUCUCCCAUCCCACACGUUUAUCUACCACGUGACAUUGAAUUGUCACCAAUCAAGAUGUACAAUCUGUGACUUUCCCUUUGGAAUUGCACAAACUUAUGUCUCAUUAGUAACCAGUGUGGUAGAAGUGAUGCUGUGUGCCUUCUGAGGCUGGGUCAUGAAGACAAUGCAGUUUCCAACUUGAGAGUUGGAGCACUUGCUUUAGGAGUGCUGUCACCAAGAAGGUUUGGAUACCCUAAGGCUGCCAUGUUGUGAGGAAGCCCAGGCCAGUGGAGAAGCCACUUUUGGAUGCUCAGCUUACUGUCAAGCACACAGGAAGUAUGAAAGAGAAGGUCCCAGAUAAAAGUCAACACCAAUAUCCCAACAUGUGAAUGAAGACACCUCUUGAUGAUUUCAAAGCCCAACAAUCAUCAAGUCACCCCUAGGAUAGUAUUUCUGGGAGGUCCACAAUUGAUCUCUCACAUGUACUCACAUAUUGGUUUCUGCUGUCAUCACAUGAUCAAUCAUCACCACUGUUGUUCCUCUGCUGCCUGGAGGUUCUCCAUCCCUGCCUUUGCCCUUCCCUCACACUCUCAUUUCAAGGUCCCUGUCAAAGAGGAAUGAUUUAACAGCUUUCAGGAUUUGGCAACUCCAAUGCCGCUGAAGACUGAGUGUGGAAGAGGCCCCAUUGCCAAUUUUCAGCCAUACUUUGUCACUUGGGCUCCAAAGCAACCUAGAAAGUCACAAAAGCUACUCCUGGGCAAUUUUCUGCCAACUCUAGUAGCCGUGCUUAUUCAAUAACAAUUAUAUAAUACUCAAUGUGAGACAGUUACUAUUUCCAUCACUUAAAAAGAUUAACCUACCUUUACAAUAACCUUAUGAGUUUUGUUAUUAUUUUGUUUUACAGAAGAGGAUACUGAGAUUUAGCAAGGCUAAAUAACCAGCUUAGGGUCACCCAGCUAGGAAGUAGUAGAGCUAGUGUGUGUGCAUACACUGGCACAUGCAUGCUCAUAUGUGCAUGUGUACUUGUAUCUUUCUCUGCUGUGUAUACUUGGAAGCAGGUUUUGGCUUGCCUGAGUCUAUGGAUGGAGGUAAGAGCAGCCAAUAUUUAUUGCAAGAGAUAAACAAACCCUAACCCAGCCAAGCUUUAAAGUGUCUGGGGUUUUAAGAGCUUUCCAGGCCCUUUGACGAAACCCAUCAGGCCAGAGUAAUGAUGCUGCGGUUUGCCAUUCAUUCUUAUUGGGUUUAAUGAAGAUAAAGGAGCUCUCUUUAUGUGUCCAGUUGGGCUUAACAAAUUAACCAGGCUGCCGGAGGGGUACAUGUGAACAGAAUAUUUGUCCUCAUAAUGUUCAUUAGGAGGGAGAAAGUUAACUAACCUUUUGUUCUGUAUUUCUUUUCCUAAAGCCCAGUGAAAACUGCAGAGCUGAAACAUCAUCGCUAAUCUUAUUUCUGACGGGCCUUUUUCUAACUUCUCCUUUUAUGAUCAUUUCACAGCUGUUAUAUUGAAUCAGUAUCAUUAUGUGUUUAAAAAAAAAAUUAUGCUCUGUGUCUCAGAGCUAACUGUCCAGAACUAAACAUCCUGGCCCCCUUUGGACAAUGACAGGCUGUCAGAGAACUGGAAAGGGGAUUGGGUUGGUUUGUUUGCUUCUUGUGUCCUCUUGACAGCUCCUGGUGAAUGAAGGAAAGCUGCGAUGAUCAGAUUUUUGCUAUGGGUUUACAACAUGACUAUAAGCAAAUCCCUGUAGCAAAUUGCAAAAAUGGCCCCCAAGUCCUGAAUGCACACCCCUUUCCAGUGGGAUUUUGCCACAUCUCUCAUUAACAGGUGGAGUCCCUAUUUCACACUUUGAAUCUGGAAUUAGUAAUGGGAUUUGCUUUGUCCAAUGGGAUGUCAGCUGAGGCUUGAAAGGCACUUGUUGGAGUUUGCUUUACCAUGCUGCAUCUAUAAUCUUGAGACCCUCACGUUACCCGGCCUGAGCUAGCCUGCAAGAAAAUGAGAGAAGAUAAGGAGAAGAAACAAAGUACAAUGGUUGAUGGUCACCCUUGUUAAUUCAACUGAUAGACUUCCAACUGCUAGACAAGUGAGGGUGGCCACCCUAGAUCACUCAGCCAUCAGCCCGCAUGCCAACUGAUCACAGAUGCAUGAGAGCCCAGCAGAGAUAAGCCAUGCUAACCCAGGCAGAAGUAUCACCCAACUGACACACAGAAUCAUGGACUAAAUAAAAUGGUUAUUUUUUAAAGCCACUAAAUUUCAGGGUGGUUUGUUACACAACCAAAGCUAACUGAUACAUGCUCCUCUUCUUGAAGCACAUGACAGCUUACCUAAAUGGGGUGCAAUUUAUACCAAGAAGUCUUCAAGAAGGUGAACAUCCAUGUGCUACAGGAGUUGGCUUUUAAGAAGUUAGCUCCCCUAUAUUCAAGGGC
rnacentral:lncRNA from 1 species